GGAAACCCUGCCAGAAAAGAAACUAACCAAUCCAUCUGUACCGAGUCCUUGGAGCCGAAUCGGCAACGACGGGUUUAAGCGUAGGAACGGGAACAGCAGAGCCGGAGCGAAAGCGAAGUGAUUGAGCUGGGAAAUGUGUAUCAGUUGAAGAGGUCGAGGACUUUUCCUUAUCCGCAGACUGCAUUGUACUUUAUCGUAAUGGUGAGAUUUGUACGACUCUUCCCCAGUCUGAGAACC
rnacentral:ncRNA from 1 species